GUGCUGGCUUCUGCAGCACGUAUACUAAAAUUGGAACAAUAUAGAGAAGAUUAGCAUGGCCCCUGUGCAAGAACGACACACAAAUUCGUGAGACGUUCCAUAUUUUU